GACGAACGCUGGCGGCGUGCUUAACACAUGCAAGUCGAACGGAGUGGCAAACGGGUGAGUAACACGUAAACAACCUGCCUUAAGGAUGGGGAUAACAGACGGAAACGACUGCUAAUACCGCAUACCUUAAGAGGGGUUUGCGACUGAUUAGGUAGUUGGUGAGGUAACGGCUCACCAAGCCGACGAUCAGUAGCCGGUCUGGGAGGAUGGACCGACAACCUGGAACGUAGAAACGGUCCAGACUCCUACGGGAGGCAGCAGUGGGGAAUCUUGCGCAAUGGAUGAAAGUCUGACGGAGCAACGCCGCGUGAACGAAGAAGGUCUUCGGAUUUGAAAGUUCUGUGAUUCGGGACGCGGUACCGAAAAAGCAAGCCACGGCUAACUACGUGCCAGCAGCCGCGGUAAUUC
rnacentral:rRNA from 1 species